UGGGGAAUCUUGCGCAAUGGACGAAAGUCUGACGCAGCCACGCCGCGUGAGUGAAGAAGGCCUUCGGGUUGUAAAGCUCUGUCGGGCGGGACGAAAAUGCAUUGGGUGAAUAGCCCAGUGAACUGACGGUACCGCCAAAGGAAGCACCGGCUAACUUCGUGCCAGCAGCCGCGGUAAUACGAGGGGUGCAAGCGUUGCUCGGAAUUAUUGGGCGUAAAGGGUAGGUAGGUGGUCUCAUUUGUCAGGGGUGAAAGCCUUGAGCUUAACUCAAGAAGUGCCUCUGAAACGGUGAGACUGGAGUACUGGAGAGGAUCGCGGAAUUCCCGGUGUAGCGGUGAAAUGCGUAGAGAUCGGGAGGAAUACCAGAGGCGAAGGCGGCGAUCUGGACAGUAACUGACACUCAACUACGAAAGCAUGGGUAGCAAACAGG
rnacentral:rRNA from 1 species